rnacentral:rRNA from 1 species
UAUUACCAUGCUAGUCGACGGCAAGGCCCAGCUUGCUGGGUACUCGAGUGGCGAACGGGUGAGUAACACGUGGGUGAUCUGCCCUGAACUUUGGGAUAAGCCUGGGAAACUGGGUCUAAUACCGGAUAUGACCUUGGAGUGCAUGCUCUGGGGUGGAAAGCUUUUGCGGUUCAGGAUGGGCCCGCGGCCUAUCAGCUUGUUGGUGGGGUAAUGGCCUACCAAGGCGACGACGGGUAGCCGACCUGAGAGGGUGAUCGGCCACACUGGGACUGAGACACGGCCCAGACUCCUACGGGAGGCAGCAGUGGGGAAUAUUGCACAAUGGGCGCAAGCCUGAUGCAGCGACGCCGCGUGAGGGAUGACGGCCUUCGGGUUGUAAACCUCUUUCACCAGGGACGAAGCGCAAGUGACGGUACCUGGAGAAGAAGCACCGGCCAACUACGUGCCAGCAGCCGCGGUAAUACGUAGGGUGCGAGCGUUGUCCGGAAUUACUGGGCGUAAAGAGCUCGUAGGCGGUUUGUCGCGUCGUCUGUGAAAUUCUGCAACUCAAUUGUAGGCGUGCAGGCGAUACGGGCAGACUUGAGUACUACAGGGGAGACUGGAAUUCCUGGUGUAGCGGUGAAAUGCGCAGAUAUCAGGAGGAACACCGGUGGCGAAGGCGGGUCUCUGGGUAGUAACUGACGCUGAGGAGCGAAAGCGUGGGUAGCGAACAGGAUUAGAUACCCUGGUAGUCCACGCCGUAAACGGUGGGUACUAGGUGUGGGGCUCAUUUCACGAGUUCCGUGCCGUAGCUAACGCAUUAAGUACCCCGCCUGGGGAGUACGGCCGCAAGGCUAAAACUCAAGGAAUUGACGGGGGCCCGCACAAGCGGCGGAGCAUGUGGAUUAAUUCGAUGCAACGCGAAGAACCUUACCUGGGUUUGACAUACACCAGACGCAUGUAGAGAUACAUGUUCCCUUGUGGUUGGUGUACAGGUGGUGCAUGGCUGUCGUCAGCUCGUGUCGUGAGAUGUUGGGUUAAGUCCCGCAACGAGCGCAACCCUUGUCCUGUAAUGCCAGCGGGUUAUGCCGGGGACUUGCAGGAGACUGCCCGGGGUUCAACUCUGGAGGAAAGNNG